GCUCCCUGAUGUUAGCGGCGGACGGGUGAGUAACACGUGGGUAACCUGCCUGUAAGACUGGGAUAACUCCGGGAAACCGGGGCUAAUACCGGAUGGUUGUUUGAACCGCAUGGUUCAGACAUAAAAGGUGGCUUCGGCUACCACUUACAGAUGGACCCGCGGCGCAUUAGCUAGUUGGUGAGGUAACGGCUCACCAAGGCGACGAUGCGUAGCCGACCUGAGAGGGUGAUCGGCCACACUGGGACUGAGACACGGCCCAGACUCCUACGGGAGGCAGCAGUAGGGAAUCUUCCGCAAUGGACGAAAGUCUGACGGAGCAACGCCGCGUGAGUGAUGAAGUUUUCGGAUCGUAAAGCUCUGUUGUUAGGAAGAACAAGUGCCGUUCAAAUAGGGCGGCACCUUGACGGUACCUAACCAGAAAGCCACGGCUAACUACGUGCCAGCAGCCGCGGUAAUACGUAGGUGGCAAGCGUUGUCCGGAAUUAUUGGGCGUAAAGGGCUCGCAGGCGGUUUCUUAAGUCUGAUGUGAAAGCCCCCGGCUCAACCGGGGAGGGUCAUUGGAAACUGGGGAACUUGAGUGCAGAAGAGGAGAGUGGAAUUCCACGUGUAGCGGUGAAAUGCGUAGAGAUGUGGAGGAACACCAGUGGCGAAGGCGACUCUCUGGUCUGUAACUGACGCUGAGGAGCGAAAGCGUGGGGAGCGAACAGGAUUAGAUACCCUGGUAGUCCACGCCGUAAACGAUGAGUGCUAAGUGUUAGGGGGUUUCCGCCCCUUAGUGCUGCAGCUAACGCAUUAAGCACUCCGCCUGGGGGAGUACGGUCGCAAGACUGAAACUCAAAGGAAUUGACGGGGGCCCGCACAAGCGGUGGAACCAUGUGGUUUAAUUCGAAGCAACGCGAAGAACCUUACCAGGUCUUGACAUCCUCUGACAAUCCUAGAAGAUAGGACGUCCCCUUCGGGGGCACAGUGACAGGUGGUUGCAUGGUUGUCGUCAGCUCGUGUCGUGAGAUGUUGGGUUAAGUCCCGCAACGAGCGCAACCCUUGAUCUUAGUUGCCAGCAUUCAGUUGGGCACUCUAAGGUGACUGCCGGUGACAAACCGGAGGAAGGUGGGGAUGACGUCAAAUCAUCAUGCCCCUUAUGACCUGGGGCUACACACCUGCUACAAUGGGCAGAACAAAGGGCAGCGAAACCGCGAGGUUAAGCCAAUCCCACAAAUCUGUUCUCAGUUCGGAUCGCAGUCUGCAACUCGACUGCGUGAAGCUGGAAUCGCUAGUAAUCGCGGAUCAGCAUGCCGCGGUGAAUACGUUCCCGGGCCUUGUACACACCGCCCGUCACACCACGAGAGUUUGUAACACCCGAAGUCGGUGAGGUAACCUUUAUGG
rnacentral:rRNA from 1 species